GACGAACCGUGCGAGCGUUAUUCGGAAUCACUGGGCUUAAAGGGCGCGUAGGCGGGCGGCCGAGUCCGGGGUGAAAUCCCACGGCUCAACCGUGGAACUGCCUCGGAUACGGGCGGCCUCGAGGGUGGUAGGGGCAUCUGGAACUGUGAGUGGAGCGGUGAAAUGCGUUGAUAUUCACAGGAACUCCGGUGGCGAAGGCGAGGUGCUGGACCCCAUCUGACGCUGAUGCGCGAAAGCCAGGGGAGCGAACGGG
rnacentral:rRNA from 1 species